UACGUAGGGGGCAAGCGUUGUCCGGAUUUAUUGGGCGUAAAGAGCGUGUAGGCGGCCAUACAGGUCAGCUGUGAAAACUCGAGGCUCAACCUCGAGACGUCGGUUGAAACCGUUUGGCUAGAGUCCGGAAGAGGAGAGUGGAAUUCCCGGUGUAGCGGUGAAAUGCGCAGAUAUCAGGAAGAACACCCGUGGCUAAGGCGGCUCUCUAGUACGGUACUGACGCUGAGACGCGAAAGCGUGGGGAGCGAACAGG
rnacentral:rRNA from 1 species